UGUAUUGCUAUAAACUUCCCACUUAGAACUGCUUUUGCUGCAUCCCAUACAUUUUGGGUCGUUGUGUUUUCUUUGUCAUUUGUUUCUAGGUAUUUUUUGAUCUCCUCUUUGGUUUCUUCAGUGAUCUACUACUAUUAAGUAGUAUAUUGUUUAGCCUCCAUGUGUUUGUAUUUUUUACAGAUUUUUUUCCUGUAAUUGAUAUCUAGUCUCAUAGCAUUGUGGUCGGAAAAGAUACUUGAUAUGAUUUCAAUUUUCUUAAAGUUACCAGGGCUUGAUUUGUGACCCAAGAUAUGAUCUAUCCUGGAGAAUGUUCAAUGAGCACUUGAGAAGAAAGUGUAUUCUGUUGUUUUUGGAUGGAAUGUCCUAUAAACAUCAAUUAAGUCCAUCUUGUUUAAUAUAUCAUUUAAAGCUUGUGUUUCCUUAUUUAUUUUCAUUUGGAUCAUCUGUCCAUUGGUGAAUGUGGGGUGUUAAAGUCUCCUACUAUGAUUGUGUUACUGUUGAUUUCCCCUUUUAUGGCUGUUAGCAUUUGCCUUAUAUAUUGAGGUGCUCCUGUGUUGGGUGCAUAAAUAUUUACAAUCGUUAUAUCUUCUUCUUGGAUUGAUCCCUUGAUCAUUAUGUAGUGUCCUUCUUUGUCUCUUGUAAUAGUGUUUAUUUUAAAGUCUAUUUUGUCUGAUAUGAGAAUUGCUACUCCAGGUUUCCUUUGAUUUCCAUUUGCAUGGAAUAUCUUUUUCUAUCCCCUCACUUUCAGUCUGCAUGUGUCCCUAGGUCUGAAGUGGGUCUCUUGUAGACAGCAUAUAUAUGGCUCUUGUUUUUGUAUCCAUUCAGCCAGUCUGUGUAUUUUGGUGGGAGCAUUUAAUCCAUUUACAUUUAAGGUAAUUAUUGAUUUGUAUGUUCCUAUUACCAUUUUCUUAAUUGUUUAGGGUUGAUUCUUUGUUAUUGUAGGUCUUUUCCUUCUCUUGUGUUUCCUGCCUAGGGAAGUUCCUUUAGCAUUUGUUGUAAAGCUGGUGUGGUGGUGCUGAAUUCUCUUAGCUUUUGCUUGUCUGUAAAGGUUUUAAUUUCUCCAUCAAAUAUGAAUGAGAUCCUUGCUGGGUAGAGUAAUCUUGGUUGUAGGUUUUUCCCUUUUAUCACUUUAAAUAUGUCCUGCCACUCCCUUCUGGCUUGCAGAGUUUCUGCUGAAAGAUCAGCUGUUAACCUUAUGGGGAUUCCCUUGUAUGUUAUUUGUUGUUUUUCCCUUGCUGCUUUUCAUAUUUUUUCUUUGUGUUUAAUUUUUGAUAGUUUGAUUAAUAUGUGUCUUGGCAUGUUUCUCCUUGGAUUUAUCCUGUAUGGGACUCUCUGUGCUUCCUGGACUUGAUUGACUGUUUCCUUUCCCAUAUUAGGGAAAUUUUCAACUAUCAUCUCUUCAAAUAAUUUCUCAGUAUCUUUGUUUUUCUCUUCUUCUUCUGGGACCCCUAUAAUUCGAAUGUUGGUGUGUUUAAUGUUGUCCCAGAGGUCUCUGAGAUUGUCCUCAAUUCUUUUCAUUCUUUUUUUCUUUAUUCUGCUCUGCAGUAGUUAUUUCCACUAUUUUAUCUUCCAGGUCACUUAUCCGUUCUUCUGCCUCAGUUAUUCUGCUAUUGAUUCCUUCUAGAGAAUUUUUAAUUUCAUUUAUAGUGUUGUUCAUCAUUGUUUGUUUGCUGUUUAGUUCUUCUAAGUCCAUGUUAAACAUUUCUUGUAUUUUCUCCAUUCUAUUUUCAAGAUUUUAGAUCAUCUUUACUAUCAUUACUCUGAAUUCUUUUUCAGGUAGACUGCCUAUUUCCUCUUUAUAUGUUUGGUCUGGUGGGUUUUUACCUUGCUCCUUCAUCUGCUGUGUGUUUCUCUGUCUUCUCAUUUUGCUUAACUUACUGUGUUUGGGGUGUCCGUUUUGCAGGCUGCAGGUUUGUAGUUCCUGUUGUUUUGGGUGUCUGCCCCCAGUGGCAAAGGUUGGUUCAGUGGGUUUUGUAGGCUUCCUGGUGGAGGGGACUGGUGACUGUAUUCUGGUGGAUGUGGCUGGAUCUUGUCUUUCUGGUGGUCAGGACCAUGUCUGGUGGUGUGUUUUGGGGUGUCUGUGAAUUUAAUAUGAUUUUAGGCAGCCUCUCUGCUAAUGGGUGGGUCUGUGUUCCUGUCUUGGUAGUUGUUUGGCAUGAGGUGUCCAGCACUGUAGCUUGCUGGUCGUUGAGUGGAGCUGGAUCUUAGCGUUGAGAUGGAGAUCUCUGGGAGAGCUUUUGCCGUUUGAUGUUACAUGGGGCUGGGAGGUGUUUGGUGGACCAAUGUCCUGAAGUCAGCUCCCCACCUCAGAAUCUCAGGCCUGACACCCGGCCAGAGCACCAAGACCCUGUCAACCACCCGGCUGCAAACAUAGAGUCCUUUCCAAUCUCAGCUCCCAAAUGGCUAACUGUUUAUUUCAGAUGGGUAAUUGCUGCCUUAAGCUGUUGGUGGCACUGUACCACCUACGGGUAAAAUGCAUACAGCACCAUCAGGAGUUAGUCUUUGCCUUUCAGUGAGGGACACUGUGUUAGGCCUGAUGUAUAUGAGGAUGGAGAAGACAAGGUCACCUUGCCAGGAGUUUAGAGUUUGGUUAGGAGAUAAGAUGUAUCCACAGGAAUCAACAUUAUCCCAAGAUGGUGAGAGCCAAGUGCAAAUAAGGAAGUUCUUAGUUCAAAAGGAAAGUGACACUAAGGAAAGAGUUAAUAUUAAUUGAGCAGCUGUCAGUGUAUUUGCUUAUUUAAAUCCUCCCAAGGGAUCCAUGGGAUUAUAUUAUCCUCUUUUUUGGACCCAAGGAAGCUUCAGCUCAGAGAGGUUAAUUUGCCCAAAACAAGUCAGGUGGAGAGCUUGUGCAGGCUCCCUCUGUGACAUUUUGUGUUUUCUAGUUGCUGUCUGCAAGGACCCCCUCCCCCCAGCCAGUUCUUGAUUAAAUUGUGUUUUUGAUGUCUCUCUAUGUUCUCCAUCCUGGAUUACUAGCACUGCUGGUUCUGCCAACACUCCUUACGUCUGUCACCAGUCAGACCAAGCUGACCUACCUUUAUCUGAACUAAACCUAAAGGUAUUGACAUAACUGAGCCUUUGGUUCUGUGUCUUCACUCUUGCUAAGUUAGGUGGCCCUUUUGUUUUUGUUGAGAUACUUUGUGGUGUUUUGUUCUAGUAUUCCUGUUUCUAAUGGGCAAAGCUGCACCAUUUUUACUGUUUGUGCCUCAGCUGGAAAUGAGGCUUCAGCUUUCAUUAACCCGAGCAGUCUGCGGCUGCACUGACCAGAGUCUUCAAACCUACCUUUGAAACUUGACUGCAAUGCUCUGGAAUUAAGUGAUGAUGAAGUGGACAAUGUUGUUGAGAUUUAGGUGGGAUUUAAAGGUGGAAGAAGGAUCAAGUCCUCCCAUAGUUUAGAGAUACCUUUUGAGGUUACUUUGAAUUACUGGAAAGUUAAAAACGACACUGAUGUAAAAGAUGGAGCUUUAAAACACAAAUAAGAGCAUAGUUUAUUACUGUAUUACCAGUUUAUCAGUGUUAUUUUACAUCUCUUUAUAAUUAUUAUUAUUAAUGGUAUAAACAAAGUUUGAUUUUUUUUUUUUAAUUACUCCCUCCUGAGUGGAUUGUCAUGUCAAGGGUUUUUAAACAGUUGCUAACAUUUUAAUAUUAUAUUCUCAUCACAUGAUUAACUGUCAGUGUGUUCCUUGUGUGGAAAAAGUUUACGUGAGCUGAGUGUUCAUUAUCUUCACUUCAGGCAGUUUCAACAAGAAAGGAGAUAAAAAAGAGCUUGGCAAGCA